rnacentral:rRNA from 1 species
UACGAAGGGGCUAGCGUUGCUCGGAAUCACUGGGCGUAAAGCGCACGUAGGCGGAUUGUUAAGUCAGGGGUGAAAUCCUGGAGCUCAACUCCAGAACUGCCUUUGAUACUGGCGAUCUUGAGUCCGGGAGAGGUGAGUGGAACUGCGAGUGUAGAGGUGAAAUUCGUAGAUAUUCGCAAGAACACCAGUGGCGAAGGCGGCUCACUGGCCCGGUACUGACGCUGAGGUGCGAAAGCGUGGGGAGCAAACA